rnacentral:rRNA from 1 species
AUUGAACGCUGGCGGCAGGCCUAACACAUGCAAGUCGAGCGACCGGCGGACGGGUGAGUAAUGGAUGGGGACCUGCCCGAUAGAGGGGGAGAACUAAUGGAAACGGUGGUCACUCCCGCAUACUGUCGGAUUAACCCAUAUGGGAUUAGUUGGUGGGUUAGGUAACGGCUUACCUGGGCGACGGUCCCUAGCUGGUCUGAGAGGAUGAUCAGCCACACUGGAACUGAGACACGGCCCAGACUCCUACGGGAGGCAGCAGUUGGGAAUAUUGCACAAUGGGCGAAAGCCUGAUGCAGCCAUGCCGCGUGUAUGAAGAAGGCCCUAGGGUUGUAAAGUACUUUCAGUCGGGAGGCGUUACCGACAGAAGAAGCACCGGCUAACUCCGUGCCAGCAGCCGCGGUAAUAC